CGCAGGCGGGUUGGCAAGUCAGAGGUGAAAUCCUACAGCUUAACUGUAGAACUGCCUUUGAGACUGCUAAUCUUGAGUACGGAAGAGAGAGAUGGAAUUCCAGGUGUAGUGGUGAAAUACGUAGAUAUCUGGAAGAACACCAGUGGCGAAGGCGAUCUCUUGGUCCUUUACUGACGCUAAGGCGCGAAAGCGUGGGGAGCAAACA
rnacentral:rRNA from 1 species